UUACCUGUAACGGCAGUUACAGAAUAUCUGAACGUAAUUGUUAACCUGUGAUGCGGAUUGCAGUGGCUGUUUUGUACUCAAGGCAACUCUAAUGGCCUGGUCAGUUCCUGGAUAAAGGACUUCUUGGAUGCUCCCGCACAGAUCUGAAAAGUCUAGAGAUACCCAUGUCUUCGCAAUGAGGCUUUGGGGAGUAGUUGGAUACUCAUCAGACUGGAAAGUCAGGCUAUUGCUGAGAAAUUCCUCUGCAGACAGCGGAAAUACAAGAAAGAGAACAUUUGAUGCAAAGUACAUUGAACAGUCUCAACAAGGACAGAAAGAAAGAAACCUAAGAUAAUGGAAGAUCGCAGAAAAGAUUGAUUAAACAGAACUCAUCCAAAUCCACUCCAGAUCAAGUACAAUUUAUGUAGAAGUACUUCAUUUCAAGGUAAUAAUCU